rnacentral:rRNA from 1 species
AUUGAACGCUGGCGGCAUGCCUUACACAUGCAAGUCGAACGGCAGCACGGGUGCUUGCACCUGGUGUCGAGUGGCGAACGGGUGAGUAAUACAUCGGAACAUGUCCUGUCGUGGGGGAUAGCCCGGCGAAAGCCGGAUUAAUACCGCAUACGAUCUACGGUUUAAAUCGCGGGAUCUUCGGGCCUCGCGCUAUAGGUUAGGCCGCUGGCUGAUUAGCUAGUUGUGGGGGUAAAGGCCUACCAAGGCGACGAACAGUAGCUGGUCUGAGAGGACGACCAGCCGCACGAGGACUGAGACACGGACAAGACUACUGAGAGACGCAGCAGUGGGGAAUGGUAGACAAUGGGCGAAAGCCUGAUCCAGCAAGGCCGCGUGUGUGAAGGAGGCGUUCGGGUUGUAAAGAACGUUUGUCCGGAAAGAAAUCCUUGGGCCUAAGACGGUCGGGGGAUGACGGUACCGGAAGAAUAAGCACCGGCUAACUACGUG